rnacentral:rRNA from 1 species
UACAGAGGGGGCGAGCGUUGUUCGGAAUUACUGGGCGUAAAGGGCGCGUAGGCGGCCAACUAAGUCAGACGUGAAAUCCCUCGGCUCAACCGGGGAACUGCGUCUGAUACUGGAUGGCUUGAAUUCGGGAGAGGGAUGCGGAAUUCCAGGUGUAGCGGUGAAAUGCGCAGAUAUCUGGAGGAAUACCGGUGGCGAAGGCGGCAUCCUGGACCGAGAUUGACGCUGAGGAGCGAAAGCUAGGGGAGCAAACGGG